UCACCCCACUGCACUCCAGCCUGGGCGACAGAGCAAGACUGACUCAAUUUAAAAAAAAAAAGAUAAAAAUGGUGCAUCUCUAUAGGGCGUUUACCAUGCCUGGAGCUUGUGGGACUGGAAGUUGCUCUGGAAUCACUUCCUGGCUGGGAAUUGAACCCAGACUGCUGCAGUGAAAGAGCAUAAUGUUAGCUACUGGCCCACAGCAUGAGACUCCCGGUCCUGUUUGUUGCUCAUCCCCAGAUACGCAGCCUGGUCUACAGGAAGAAUUCUAUGUAUAUUUGCUGAAGAGACAAAGAAGGAUGUGGAUGAAUUGGAUGUGGAGAAUGAGAGGAAAGAAAAUGUCAAGGAUGGCUCUAAUUUCUGGCUUAUGCAACUGAGUGGUGCCAUUGAGAGAGACUCUCUCUCUUGCCUUCUUGGUUGGCACACUGGGGAGAAGCGAGCUGCAGCGUUGGAGAGGCCCAUGUGGCAAGGGACUGAGAGCAGCCUCUGGCCAACAGCCGCUGAUCCUACAGAUGAGAAUCUAGCCCUUGUGCUGCCUCAUGAGAGACCCUGGAGCAGAGGCCCCAGCUGAGCUAUGCCUGGAUUCCUACCCACAGAAACUGGAAGACAAUAAAAGUGUCGUUUAUGUUUUUUUAUUCUGGUAAAAAUCAUAUAACAUGAAAUUUUUCCAUUCUAACCAUUAAAAACAUGUCUUUUUGUGUGUGUGAGACAGGGUUUCGUUCUGUCACCCAGGCUAGAGUGCAGUGGUGCAAUC
rnacentral:lncRNA from 1 species